UGCUUUCGCGAAACGCAUUCAGCAGACUUCGGGAGAACGAAGGGACCGUUGAAGCGUUCACCGGAUGAACACUCGUUUCAAGCCCGAGAAUAUACGAACCGCCUCCUGGUCUGACAAAGAAACAGCUGUGUGCAAUGAGCAAGGCACCUGUUACAUGACACGCCUGUAAAGAAGCUAGCCCGAGUGAAACAACAUGCAUUAUAAGGAUUGCCGGGCAACGACAGGAUGACUACCCCCGAAUGUCCACUCUGCAAGUGCGGCGAAACAUGUGAACGUCUGCUACAACAG